rnacentral:lncRNA from 1 species
AGUCUUGGAACAGCAGAGCGUAUAGGAUUGCAGCUGUUUAUUCUGGAGCUGUGCCAAGCAAGCAGGCCACAUCUGUGAUAAGAAAACAGGCUCACUGCAGUUCACAUGCAUAUGGAGAUCAGAGGACAACUUGUGGGAGAAAAGUAUCUUGUAUUCAACGAUGCAGAUUCCAGGGACUAAACUCAGGUCAUCGGGCUUGGGACGUUUACAGCUUGUUUACACACUGAGCUGUCUUGCCAGCCCUGAGGACUUUUGGGACUUGGCUCUUCUUCUUCUCCAUCCUCAAUCUGGCUGUCUUUGCCUUAGAGACUUUCUUCUAUUAACUUCUCAUUUCUGACUCCAGCAAUGUAUGGGUCUGCAGAAGAGCUCACGAUAUGGAAGCACUAUUAGACCAUGAGAGUGCAAACCGAGUUUGCUCAAGUCCUUUCCAGAGCUGCUGGUGUCUAGUAAGGUUCAUAUGGUCAUGGCAUCUCAUCUCAUCUGUAUAGAUGCUCCGAUGAUCCUUUAUAUGACCUUGGAAGAGAGAGCAUAGAAAAAGAACAGGAUAGAGGGCUUGUGUGAAGCUCUGGAGGGGAUUACAAUGGAUCUGGACCCAAGAGAUUUUCCAUAGCUACUCAGCACCGUGGGGCUUGGAUGGACAACAACCCAAGACUCUUCCCUCUUGGCCCGUGUGCUUCCUUUUCUUUCACUCUUCAUGGCUUGAGAAAACAGCUGCCCCUUGUCAUCUCGUUAAAAAUUCAUCUAAUGUGGAAACAGGAAACGACUCUGGUUCUGAGGCAGUGAAACUGGGUCCCCUUGAGCAGGUGGCUUGGACACACCCACACUAAGAGGCACUGAGAGAACAGAUGGGCCUCAGGAAAGCAAUAUUAAACCCGAGCAGGGUCUAAGGAAGGGCUUUGUAGUUAAAUCAUGUUAGAGCAAGUUUGGUUCCAAGGGUCUCGUGACCCUUCUAAGCACACUCACACAUCUGGAUAUUGGAUUGAAUCCCAAAAGAAAUGCAUCCUUGAGGAUCAUCUAGGGACAGGCUUUUGAACGAAACAAGAGAACCGAAUGAUGAAUUGUCAUAUGGUUGAUGUUGACCAGGUGUUCAUCAUUAGAAGGCUGAACAAGAUGCAGGCCAUAAACACGACCCAGCAUUAGGAGAAAUGUGGAUGCUUUUGCUUAAUUACUUUCAACUCAGUGCCAGUCCAGGGUCUGGGAUGUGGUAGGUUUUUUACCACGAUUUGCUGACUGAAUAGAUGGGCUCUUGUGAAACUGCAUGACUGGGAAAAGUCUCACAAGCCACUUAUGCGUCUGGUUUGGAAGAGGGUUGGUGGCAAAAUACAAGAUUCUUAUAAGCGUUUUGACAUCAGGCUGGCCCAGCUGACGUACCAGCUCGAGCACCACCCAAAUUCAAGGCAGGAAAAGGCCUGGUGGAGGUUUUUAUGGUUGAGGGUUGGGUUUUGGAUUGUGAUGGUGGACUUCCAGCUGUGUUGAACCUCUCUCUUCCCACUGAAAUGCUACCCAUCAUACACACACACACACAAACAAUCUGGAAGGAAUGACGUCUCAUGAAUAGUUCGUAGGUCUCUGGGAAGCACUUCUCCUACCACAGAGCUGAUGGGAUGGGAUUAAGAAAUAAGUGUCAUUGACCUUAAAGAAAAAUAGAGCCACUUGCAUAGCAGAAUGUUUUGCUUCCUGUUGCUUUGGUUAGUUUUCUAAAUAAACAGCCCAUUUCAAAUUCUUCCCACUGCCCGUCUAUACUUCUCUUUCUCCAUCCUUUUGAUAAACAUGCUCAGAAACAGAAACAGUUUUCUGUGGGCAAAUGCUAAAUUAUGUUUCGAUAUUUGGAACUGUGUAAACUCUCCUCUGCACUUAUAUCCUGUCCACACAGUGGCUGAUGCUGGUGUUGCAGUUUCCGCCUAGCUGCUGAGCAGAGGGAGCUGGGAGCUGGGUUGGUUACUUUCCUGUUGUUCUGACAAGAUGCCUCCCAGGGAGCAAGCCAGGGGAGGAAAGUCUUCCUCUGGCUCAUAGAUUGAGGGAACACGCAUGCUAAUGUGGUAUAUUCAUGUGAGUGUCUAUGUGUCAGCUGAAUGCCUGUGCAUUUUUAGAGACAGAGAAGGCAUCUUCUAUCCCUCUAGCCUAUGAUUUUGAGACAGCAUCUUUCCCUGAUCCUGCAAGCUCUGAGUUUUCAGCUUGGCUGGAAGCCAGCAAACCCAGAGAUCUCUAUUUUGUCCCACUCAGAGCUGGGUUUACAGGCAUCUGCAGGUUGCCUGGCUUGUUACACUGGUGUUGGCAUCUAAACUUUUUCCCUCAUGCUUGAACAGCAAGGACUCAACCUCUAAGCCACCUCUCCAGCCCCUCCUCCUGUAUUUUACCUUUUUAUUCAGUCUAGGAUUCCAGCCUAUGGGAUAGUAUCACCCACAUUCAGAGUGGGGUGUCCAUUCUGUCAAACCUCUCAGGAAAUGUAUUCACACACAUACCCAGAGAUGUAUUUCCAAAUCCAACCAACUUGGCGCUAGCAUUGCGUAAGCAUUUAUACUUCAAAGGGGGAGAAGUACGGGUAUAACAAAGAAAUAGUUGGGCCACAACAAGACCAAAACUUAGCAUGGUAAAUAUCAGUUUCUGUAGCUCCAUGUCCAGCACUGGGGGCUCUGAAUGGCAUCAUCUGGGUUACAACAGACUUGGGUGGCCCCACCCUCCUACUUCCGCUGCCUGCAGUGCAUGUAGCUUCUUUUGGGAUGGCUCUAUUCUAUUCCUGCAGCCUGUGGCAGUUUUGUGCAAUGGUCUGUCCAGGCAUUCUCACAGGGAAUCGGAUCUUGCUAUACAUUGCCUGGCCUCAGUGACUUCCUGCAGCCUCAGUGCAAGACUCCAGGACACUGGUGACUCCCAUGCUUUUCAUGCUUUCAAACUGUCAGUGAUGCUUCUACUGUCAGCUUGGGACACAGUAUUGUCCCUUUUCAGUCAUGGCUAUAGCAGUCUCUGUGUGCUUUGGUGGCUGAAUCUGAGAUUGCUUGGCAGCAGGGAAUUCCCACUUGGAAGCAAUUUCAGUUAAGGCUCUUUCCUUUUAAAUGAAUUUGCAUUUCUGAAACUUAGAGGCUUUAAUGGGUGGGAUCUUGCUCUCUGGGCAUCUUUCCUAUCACCCCAGGACAGAGAAUGUGGUUUCUCUUUAGCGGUGCAAAUCUUUUUAACAAGCACAGCAGCUUUCUCUGCACCAACUUUGUAACUUGAAACUGGCUGUGGUGGUUAGAAUGAGAAUGGCCCCCAUACGCUUGUAUAUUUGAAUGUUUGCUCUCCAGUUUGUGGAACUGUUUGUGAAGGAUUAGGGGGUGUGGCCUUGUUGGAGGAGGUGUGUCACUGGGAGUGGGCUUUGAGGUUUCAAAAGCCCAUGUUAUUCCCUGUUAGCUCACUCUCUGUCUAAUGCUUGUGGAUUAGAUGUAAGCUCUCCACUAUUGCUCCAGCACCAUGCCUGCCUGCCUGCUGCCAUGAUGAUCAUGGACUCUGACCCUCUGCAAUUGUGCAUCCCAGUAAACUCC